rnacentral:rRNA from 1 species
GACGAGAAAGAAAGGAAACGGAAACUAACACAGCAAAACGGACAAAAAACCAAAAAGGGAGACAAUACCGCAUAACGCCACAAGACCAAACAAGAGGACAUUAGCGACUAGGGCCAGCAAACGGCCCAACAAGGCAACAACCACUAGCUGGGCUAACAGCACAACCAGCCAAACAGCAACAGAUGACACGAGACAAACACCAACCACACGCAAAAGGAGACAAGAUCCAAAAACCGACGCAAGCCAGAAGCACCGAAUACCGCACAAAGGAACAAAGCCUGAGGCAGCCAAACCACGUGCAGCAAAAAGGAAGGCGCGGAGGAAAGAAAACCCAACCAGGAGACAGGACCCGAAGAAAAAAAACCCACCAACUCACGGCAACCACACAAGAAAAAACCACAAACUCCAAGCCAGAAGCAGAAGUAAUACGCAGAAAGCAAGCGCAAACCGGAAGUACAGGCAGAAAAGCAAACCCACGCGCUCAACCAAGGCGCAGCAGAAAAAACCGGCCGAAAACAGGCAACUACAGGCGAAACAGGCAGCCCAGAGGCACGUAAAAAGAGCGACAAAAACACGUGUAGCGGGGAAAUGCGUAGAGAUCUGGAGGAAUACCGGUGGCGAAGGCGGCCCCCUGGACAAAGACUGACGCUCAGGUGCGAAAGCGUGGGGAGCAAACAGGAUUAGAUACCCUGGUAGUCCACGCCGUAAACGAUGUCGACUUGGAGGUUGUGCCCUUGAGGCGUGGCUUCCGGAGCUAACGCGUUAAGUCGACCGCCUGGGGAGUACGGCCGCAAGGUUAAAA